rnacentral:lncRNA from 1 species
AUUGGCCUUCUCCACCAAUGAACUUUGUCCACGUGACUGUCCUGAGAGUUGCUUUCCGGAACAUCAUCUCUUCCUUUACUGCCAUGCAUGCCUAGCAGACUGUGAGUACUAACGAGUUCUUUUUUUCAGUGUAUAAAACGGAGAGUAGUCAAAGACCAGAGGAAGUGUACCACCUGCCCCCCUUCUUUAUACUGCAUUCUUGGGCAAAAUGCGACACUUUGCCUGGGCCCUCCUUUUGGUUCUCCUUGCUUGUCCGACCACUUGGAAUCCCAUGGCUGUCACGUGCUUUGAAGAAAUCAGGGAACCAUAGCACCUCCUUUGGAGAAGGCAGUGACACCCCACUCCAGUACUCUUGCCUGGAAAAUCCCAUGGAUAGAGGAGCCUGGUAGGCUGCACCCCAUGGGGUCACUAAGAAUCAGACACGACUGAGCGACUUCACUUUCACUUUUCACUUUCACGCAUUGGAGAGGGAAAUGGCAACCCACUCCAGUGUUCUUGCCUGGAGAAUCCCAGGGACGGGGGAGCCUGGUGGGCUGCUGUCUAUGGGAUCGCAGAGUUGGACACGACUGAAGCGACUUAGCAGCAGCAGCAGCAGCGGCUCUAUAGUCUACAAAAGAUCUGGUGGUGGCAGUGCCUGGAAUGGUGGCGGAAAGUAUAUUCCAGACCAAGAGAUGAAGAGGUCAUCUUUCAACCCUGAGAUCCUAAAGAUGAUGGAGUCAAAGAAAACAGAAGGCUGGAUCUUGACACCCUUGAGAAGUUGUAUUAACUCCUAGUUUCCAUCUCAAAGCUGCAAGUGGCAUUUUGGGGGAGAGGAACAUAUCAUAAGAGACCUCCUGCAUACAGGGAGAACCCACAACUGCACCCAUAGCUGCUGUCCAUGGUGCUGAUCAUCUAAAGAAAGCGUGCUGCAAGAGAAGAAGCAUCAGAAAAAUCAUUAUGAAAUUUGCAUGAGUAAACCUAAGGAUCCUGUCUUCUACUCCUCCACGAUCAAACAGAAUAGGUUUCCAAAACUGGGUAAGUGAGCAUGCAUGAUUAGAGACUCCUGAUCCCAUCCUUGUAACAUCAACGUAACAUCCACAAGUACUGAGGAACACAGUACUAGAGCCACAGGAAACCUGGAAAGAGCCAAAGUUGGGAGCAGACUUAAUGAUUACCAUGGAGUUCCCACACUUAGCCAAUCCUGUGCUACUGAGGACUAAGCCCUAGUAUCAGUUUAACCAAGCCUUCUAAAUCACUUCAGAUUCUCCUCUAACUCUCCAGAAGAUUUAAGAUCUCCUGGUAUUUCUCAUGACUGGCUUCUUGAGUCCCCAAACCUUGAACCUCUAAAACUCAGAAUCUUUGCAGACUCUGCAUUACAAAAACUUUCAAAAAGCAGAAGCAAAUUUUAGAUAAAUUGAUACAACAGAGAAGACAGUGUUUCACUGAGACAGUAAUCAAGAGCAAGUGCCAAAGAAGGGGAAAUGGGGGAAAUUAUGGAAGAUUCACUGUUUUGAAACCCAGAAUUUACCUGAAUUUUGCUUUUGGGAAAACAACCACUGUCUCACUCUCAAACCAUGUGUUUUGGGUAAAGAUGAUUCCAAACCUAAGCAUGUGAUCCAAGCCUAAGCCUGUCAAUGCAUUCUCUAUUCUAAUCACAGCUUUCAGGUAGAGGUUGGGAUAUGCUUCAAACAAGGUAAUAAAGCCUAAUUAGGACAAUUCA